rnacentral:rRNA from 1 species
UACGUAGGGGGCUAGCGUUGUCCGGAUUUAUUGGGCGUAAAGAGCGUGUAGGCGGCCAAGUAGGUCCGGUGUGAAAACUCGAGGCUUAACCUCGAGAUGUCAUCGGAAACCAUUUGGCUAGAGUCCGGAAGAGGAAAGUGGAAUUCCUGGUGUAGCGGUGAAAUGCGCAGAUAUCAGGAGGAACACCGGUGGCGAAGGCGGGACUCUGGGCAGUAACUGACGGCUGAGGAGCGAAAGCGUGGGGAGCGAACAGGA